CCCCCCCCCCCCCCUGUCAGACCAGAUCUAAUUUUACAUGAAAGUACAAUUUUCAUAAAUGAGUGCCGAGGUUUUACACAAUCUGGUACGAGGAAAAACCAAUUUAGCAGAUAUAUGGAGCACUAAUAACAUCUGUUAAAGUAAAUUCUGAUGUACUCUAGGGUUCUUAAUCUUGUUUCCUUUAUCUGUUUAAUUUUAAAGAAUAUUAUAAAUAUAACGUUCUCUUUGGUAAGGUUCUGAAGUUAAUUUUCUUAAGCAAGUUUCUGUUUUAAAUCUUGAUAAUUAGUCAUUUUCAUUUGUUUUGAGAAUUAGUGGGGACUCUCCUGCCCUCCAAUUUCCUAAAGCCUAAUUCUUGUCUCUUUAAUCUUUGACGCAACUCUUUAAUUUGCCUCUGUCAAAGGAAAAUAUAAUUCUUGUUUCUUUUUUCUUGCUUUUUUUCCUUUCUCACUUUUCUUUAUUUUUCGCUUAGCCGAGCAGUUUCUAUAAGUUGACGUAGUCUCAAGAAUUGGCUACAAACAAGAAAAAUUAUAUGGCAUACAUUAGUUUUGCCGAUGUUCAGACUAAAGGGUUAUAAUCUUCUAUAUUUCUGUCACUGUUCCACUCGCUUCUGAUUUUCCAAUUUAAUAUAUAGAUUUUGUUAGUUCUUGACCACGAAACAAGAACUAAUCUUUCAAUGUUUUUGUUUGCAAUUCAGUAGAAUUAUGUAACAGUUGCAGCUUGUGAUAGCAGUUGGAUGAAUUCUUCUAUUUGACAGUGGCAGCUUACUUCCGCUUUAUGUUGAGAUUUUGCAAGACCAGUACCAUUUUAAGCGAAAGAAAUAAUUGGCAGAGUUCCUCAUUCUGAUGAAAUAACAGACAAUUGGAAGGGAAAUAGAUUUAAUUUCCAUUUUGUAUUAUAUUUUAGGUUUUGAAUUUGGAAUAAUAUUGGUCACGGAGUAUUCUAUUGACAA